AUGGAGUGAGCCAGGGAUCACUUACCCCUGAGACGGUCUACCAGAGGUGGAGGUCCAAGUCAAAUGCAGAAGGACUGCCUCACUGAGCAACCAAGAGUGUCAGUUGUACCCAAGGCAUUUUCAGCAGCAGCAAGUACCUGUGGUGGAUUUCCAGGCUGAACUGAGGCAGGCAUUCUUAGCUGAGACACCAAGAGGUGGUUAA